rnacentral:rRNA from 1 species
GACGAACGCUGGCGGCGUGCUUAACACAUGCAAGUCGAACGAAGUGGCGAACGGGUGAGUAAUACGUGAGUAACCUGCCCUCCUUUUUGGGAUAAGCCUUGGAAACGGGGUCUAAUACCGGAUAGUGUGGGAUGGGCCCGCGGCCUAUCAGCUUGUUGGUGGGGUAAUGGCCUACCAAGGCGGCGACGGGUAGCCGGCCUGAGAGGGUGGACGGCCACAUUGGGACUGAGACACGGCCCAGACUCGUACGGGAGGCAGCAGUGGGGAAUAUUGCACAAUGGGCGGAAGCCUGAUGCAGCGACGCCGGGUGGGGGGUGACGGCCUUCGGGUUGUAAACCGCUUUCAGCCAUGACGCGGUAGUGGCAGAAGAAGCGCCGGCUAACUACGUGCCAGCAGCCGCGGUAAUAC